GUAGGGUUGAGUUGGGGUAGGGUUAGGGUUAGGGUUCCCUUCUUGUCAGGGAACUCUGGGAAUUGUAGCUCUAGUUAAGGGUUAAUGUGUAGGGUUAGGGUUCCCUUCCUGUCAGGGAACUUUGGGAAUUGUAGCUCUGGUUAAGGGUUAGCGUUAGGGUUAGAGUUAGGGUUAGCGUCAGGGGUAGGGGUAGAGUUCCCUUUUUGCCAGCGAACUCUGGGAAUUGUAGCUCUUGGAGGGGAACAGGGGGUCUCCUAACAACUCUCUGCACCCUUUUCAAACUAUAGCUCCCAGAUUCUUUGGGGGAAGAAGCCAUGAGUUUUUAAAGCAGCUUCAUAGCACAUGAAAUGGUGUGGAUGUGGCCCUGGCCUCCCUCACCCCACUGCCCCUUAUUCUUGAGGAAUCGAAAAGAUUUCCCCAUGCAAAUCUCUCAGAAACAAUGUGUUUCAUCUGGAAAACUAUUUAAUAAAGAUUACUUUUUAUUAAAACCUUUGAA